UGGAAUAAGUUAUCAUAAGUUAUCAUCCACUGAACUGCUCAGAAUUAACUUACUCUUCUGGAUGUUUGCAGUCACAGGAAGCUUUGUGCCAUACUGUGACAUUGCAGCUCAGAGAAGAAAAGAACUGGAAGAAAAAAAAUCCUUUCUGCCCUGAAGCAAUACAGAGCUACUGGACACUUCAGUAGACUUUAAGAUUGCCAAUGCCUCAACAAGAAGGAUGAAGCACUUUCUUAAUCAAUGGAGUUUGACUUUAUCUCCUGAAGUGGCUAAUCCAUAUUUAAUUAUUUGCUUUUAUUUUUAGUAUGUUGUCAGGAAAAUCUCUGCAAAAAUCCUUUUGAAAAGGUUAAUUUGUGUGUUUGUGUGUGUUUGUAGGGGAGUAUGUAAGAGAAUAUGUGAUCAACCAUUAUUAAGUCAUACAUUACAAUUUCAUUUAUCUUCUUUAAUAUUGUUCAAAGCUUCUCCAGACAGGAGCUACUUUUUUGUUAGUAUUACUGCUCUGGAUGCUUUUAUCCUUAUUAAAAUCUUCUGUAAGCAGUAAAUGUCAGAGAUAUCUGAAUAAUGCAAUGUUUGGUAAAAAGAUGCAGUAUUGUUCAUGAUUAGUGCGGAGGCCAGAGGGCUGCUUGGUCCCAGCACAACGUAGCAGAAUACAGGGGUAUCUGCAUUAGGUCAAAGACUAGGAAUUAAAUAGUUACAUUCAUCUCAAGAAAGAGCUCUGAUAAUUACCAUUGCUGAGACCCAGAAAGCAUGUCUAUAGCAUGACACCAAUCAAAAUGUCAAUAUGAACUCCUGCAAAAUUAAUCCAGUCAAGAACCUGCUAUUAGCAAUCAGAGGGCCCCUUUAACUGUCACUGGUAAAUUCCUGGAACUUAUCAGUAAUCAUCCAAACUGGCGAUCUGUUUCUUUGCAGGACACAACAGUGUUAGGCAAACUGAAGGAUAAUAAAGAGAUCUUUUUCCAAACAUCAGUGCUUACCAUUUAAAUCAUAUUUUUCAUGUCAGUAUUUCCUAGCACUCUGUUUUAUAGCGUUGUUUGUUUGCCUUCUACAGUACUUCUUUAUUUUUUUCCAUUAGCAAAAGCCUUGUUGUAGUAGAAUGGUUUAGAUUUUGGUUUGAAAAAAUAACGUUAAUAAUCCUUCAGGAAAGGAGAAUAAUUAGCUUGGAAAAAUGGUGAUGUAAAUCAGGAGUGGGAAUAUCCUUUUAGAUGAGUUAAUUCACCCCUUUCCAGACACAGUGAAGAAGUUAAUUCACUCCUACCAUGUAAGUAUCAGUGUUGUGGUCACUUGAAUCAUAAAUGGCUUUUAUCACUUCCCCGGAGCUGUUCCUCUCUUUUAGGAGAGCACAUGACAGUGUGGGUGUGCACUGUGCGGGCACUGUCCCCUCUGCUCUGGGACACAAGCUUGUGGAAACCAAAUGCCUGCCUUGUGCUCAGCCACAGAGGCUUUGGGACAGCUUCCACCCACCAGUACAGACACGGACUGAUAUUCAGUACAAAUGCUUAUUUUCUCAGUCUCACACCAUUCACUAUCCAAGGUGCAACCAUCAUGGAAAAGUACCUUUUAUUUUAGCUUCUUGCAGUUGGGGACUGUCACCAUACCUUCUCCUUCUUGAUCUGUCAUUUGAAACGGAGCACUUCUUUGUGUCCAUCUGUGAGUUCUUCAAACCGGGAUACUCAUUUGUUCUAAGGUGCAUCACACUAAAACUUGUGAAAGCAUGAUUUUUACCCAAAUCUAGAGCAAUUUUAAUUCACUGAACUGAAUGGAGUUACUUACUCCUGACAAUGAGGAAGAAAAAGGACAGGAAAAGAAGGGAAAA